rnacentral:rRNA from 1 species
CCUACGGGUGGCUGCAGUAAGGAAUAUUGGACAAUGGCGGAGACGCUGAUCCAGCUAUCCCGCGUGCAGGAUGAAGGACCUAUGGUUUGUAAACUGCUUUAGACUGGGGCGAAAAAGUGGGAUUUAUCCUACAUUGACGGUACCAGUAAAAUAAGCACCGGCUAACUCCGUUCCAGCCGCCGCGGUAAUACGGAGGGUGCAAGCGUUAUCCGGAAUCACGGGGUAUUAGGCGUGUGGAGAAGUCAGGAUUGAAAGGCCACGGCUUAACCGUGGGAUUGCUUUCGAUACUGGCGAGCUUGGAUUAGGACGAGGUUGGCGGAAUGUGGCAAGUAGCGGUGAAAUGCAUAGAUAUGCCAUAGAAUACCGAUUGCGAAGGCAGCUGACUAGACCUAUAUUGACGCUGAGGCACGAAAGCGUGGGGAGCGAACAGGAUUAGAUACCCGGGUAGUC